UCUGCUUCCGUCUCAUUGGUCAGAGC
rnacentral:piRNA from 1 species